UUAAGUUCAGCGGGUAUCCCUACCUGAUCCGAGGUCAACCACAGAAUUGGGGGGUUCUGGCAGGCCACCGCAGGGCCCUAGAGCGAGAGGUGUACUACGCUUAGGGCUAGGCGGCGCCGCCGCUGUCUUUAAGGCCGGCCGGGCAGGCCAGGCCCAACGCCAAGCUAGGCUUGAGGGUUGAAAUGACGCUCGAACAGGCA
rnacentral:misc_RNA from 1 species